AUUGAACGCUGGCGGCAGGCCUAACACAUGCAAGUCGAACGAGUGGCGGACGGGUGAGUAAUGUCUGGGAAACUGCCUGCUGGAGGGGGAUAACUACUGGCAACGGUAGCUAAUACCGCAUACCAUCCUUUUUGCCCAGAUGGGAUUAGCUAGUUGGUGGGGUAACGGCUCACCAAGGCGACGAUCCCUAGCUGGUCUGAGAGGAUGACCAGCCACACUGGAACUGAGACACGGUCCAGACUCCUACGGGAGGCAGCAGUGGGGAAUAUUGCACAAUGGGGGCAAGCCGGAUGCAGCCAUGCCGCGUGUAUGAAGAAGGCCUUCGGGUUGUAAAGUACUUUCAGCGGGGAGGCGUUAACCGCAGAAGAAGCACCGGCUAACUCCGUGCCAGCAGCCGCGGUAAUUG
rnacentral:rRNA from 1 species